CUCUGCUUCCAGCUUGUCAUGCCACGGGCUCUUUCUCCUCUGCCCUGCUCUUCUGCCAUGCUGCCCUGCCUUAGAGCCAUUUGAUUAUGGACUGAAACCUCCAUAAACUCUUUCAAACUGGUGGGAGCAAUGUGGAGCACCCAGGCCUUCCAUUUGCAGCUGGUUUGGAGAACACUAAGAUUCUAUCCGGUCAGGUGGAUGCACACAGUGACCUAGGACCACAGGAAGCAGAAUGUACACAGAUGUACAAAGAGAUAUCCAGGGCCACCUGCACCCCUGCCAGCUCCAUGGAAUUCCUGAGGAAGCAUGGAGAAGGGCCCUGGCCCAUCAUGCCUGUAUGUAUGACAAGAACAAGGUGGAUUUCCUCACACCAUGCAGUUCUUGAACUGAGGACUACAGUCACCUAAGAUGCAGCCCCUGGCAUGCAGAAUCCCUCUGCCAAUACACAUUGACUUGAGCAAAACAGAGCAGCCAGGAAGAGCUGGAGAGAUGGAAAGACAUGUGCAAAGCCUCCUGAUUUCAAGAUAUUCUCAAUCUUGGUUUGAGAGGAAUAAAUUCAUUUACACAGGAAGUGUGAGUGUGGUACCCUGGGAUUUGAGUGAGGUGGGCAACAGCAUCUCUGCUGCUCAGAGGCCAGAAUUCAGCGAGGAGCCAGAAAGCUGUGCAGGUAAUGCCAGCAGUCCUUGCAGGAAGACUCUGGCCUCUUGGGGCUGCCAGGCAGAUUCAAGGACCCUGGUUGGCAGGUGACCUCUGGAGCCAAUAUUCUCAGCGUUUGGUUUUGUGAGACUUUAUCAGAUGCAGAUACAGAAAGAAGAGGAAAGGACAACUACCCUGUUUUCAGGACCUGAGACCAGAGCUGGAGUCACCACUUGGGUGUAGGACACUCAAGUUGACCCGGAGCUUUGCUCCAUCAUCUGCAAGACUGAAGAAUGCAGUGAUGGGCUAGCAAGAUGCUAGGGGACAGCAGGGCCCAGAGCUGUGAACCACAUCUAUACAUCUGCGUCCUCGUCUGAGCCUCACAAGGAAAACCAGAACCUUGUGUGGACUAGGAGACCACAGCCUGGGUCUGAAGGUCACUUCUCACUGGGAAACACUGAGCAAGAAGCAAAGCUGGACAGCAGGAUGAGUGAACUCACACUGGUAAAUGAACAUUAGACAGUAAAUAAGCACUUGUCUGGACAUUGUUGAUUUACUAAAAAGAACAUUAGGAAAAGUUGCAACAGACACAAGGGAGAAACAUGGCUUAUUUUUCACAAGCAUUAGGAAAAUUCACCAAAAGAUGGCGUAGAUGAGACUCAGGUAUAUAUAGCAAUAACAACAUUCUUCAGCUGUAGAAAAGGAAAGCUGCCAGCUCAUUAUUGUAACUAACAAUGUGGACUGACCACUGGUUCCAAACACAGAACCUGGGAAGGCUGGGCAACACAAGGGGUGAUCCACGGGCAAAACUCAGACAAAAUAUAAUUAACAAUAACUCACUAUAUAUCUCAAAAUGGUCAGAAGCGAGGAAUUUGAAUAGACUCACCAUAAAAAAAUGAUAAAAGUUUGAGGCGAUAGAUAUGCUAAUUGCAUGUAUAUGCUAUGCAAUGCAAUGUAUAUAUGAAUCAAUGUAUAUAUGUAUGUAUCAAAGCAUCGCGCACCCAUAAGUAUGUAUGGAUAUUAUGUGUCAAAAACAAUUUAGAAAAAGAACAGGGACUUUUUAGGAUACCCAGGAAGGAGGGAUUAGUGCUAUUACUGUAAUGAGCUUAUGAGUUGUGGAAGGUCCUCAGUACACUUAGCACAUGACAAAGGGAAAGGGAUCUACCAGAGCUGGGCUGUGGGAUUUCUAAUAAAGGAACAUGCAGUCAGUGUCCGAAGUGGAAAGAGGUAAAGUACAGAUGGACAUUGGUCUCAGAUGCUUAAGAAAAUAUUGUUCAAUACAGGGCCAUGGAGGAAGCACUGUUUCUGAGGUACAAAGUCACACAAAUAUGUCUGUGAGGCCUUGUGACAGAAAAGCAGAGCCAUAUACUGAAAGAGGCCAAGAGGAUGAGUCCGCCCACUCAGGGCCAGGCUGACUGAGACUUCCCGUAGGAUCUGUGUGUGGGGGAGUGGGCAAGUGUCCUGAGUCUGCACUUGCUAGGUGUGCACUACAGGUCAGUCGCUGUGCCCAGAGCUCCUGCACCUGUCCCAUGCCCCGCAAACAUCAGCCAUGGCACAUAGGAGGGGACUGAUGCUGUGACUCUGCCUCCUGCUACAUGCCUUCCUCCCAUGUCCUGCCCACUCUUUAUUCUGCAAACUCCAGGAAUGAUAACAGUGGAGGCGGGCAGCAUCAACGAGUCCAAGACAACUUCCAAUUACACACUGAAGUUUUCUCAGAGGAAGAGCCUAAACUACUCAGUAUGCCACCUUCUAUUGUAGGAUGGCCUGGAAACCCUGACUAGACCAUCCCAGGGGGCCAGGCAGUGGAAGGCACUGAUAACAGCAAAACCUGCAAAGCGAGGGUUUUUCUGAGCAACUCCCUAGUGUAAGACACUGAAGACAGCAAUGGUCCCCAUACAGUAGGAGUCUGGUGUCUUCCAGCACAAGAGAGGCUCAUGGUGUUAAGUUGGCAGAUCCCACUUGCAUUCACCUAUGGGGAACUUGCUGGUCGGUGCAGUCCUGAGCACUGAGGCACUGCUCUUCCCCGUCCCUCAACACUGUCAUGAGUAAAGACCCUGAAGCAUUGCUGUACCAUGCCCUGAGGAGGGUCAGGUGGACAGAAACCAAGUGCUCACAACCCUGGACACAGGCCACUGUGUGGGUAGGUUCUUGGAGGAGAGGGGAAGCAUUUCUGCAGAGGCAUUUGCCAUGGGAGCACACUAGGUCACAGAAGACCAGACUCACUCACCGCUAUGCCCUUUUCCAGAGGUCAGUGUGUGGCCCUGAAAGCUCCUGGGAGAGACGAUGCACCUUGGGAACAUGCCCUGUCAUGUGGCUGAGCAACCAAGCAGCACUGGCCACAGACAAUGUGCUUCCCCUGAGCCAUACACCUUUCCCAGAAUUCCAUAUAGGUCUCCUCUCUGAGGACCUGGCUGCAGGGAACUUUCCAUGCCCACCAGUCUCCCCUUUCUCAUCCCCACUGCAGGUGAAGAUAAAGCAACUUCUUUUACUCAAGGCUUUUAUGGUAUUUUGAAAUGCGUGGUCAGAGUUGUCAGCUGAGUAUACAGAUUGGACAGAAAUUCAAAACAAAGCGUUAAUGAUGCAGGAAGAAAAGAAAGUCAAAUGUGCUAAAAAUAUUAAGACAAAAGUGCCAGUUCCUAGUUUCAGCCCUAUUAAUUAAAAACAAAAUUAAAAUUGUAUAGGAUCACUCAUUAAGUCUUUAAUUUAUACAGGCUGACAAGCUAACACCACUGACAACCUCCCCUCGCUGCACCCUAUAAACCCCAUGCAGGGCUGGGAGCUCUGGAGAGGGCAGGGGGUUGUCCACAGAGGGAUGCUGUCUGCAGGAUGGUGGAGCCACAGCUGCAAGGCCCACAGGCUCAGAAAGGAUGGGCAGUUGUGUGUCACGUGAGGAUGUUUCCAACAAUGACAGGCCACAUCCAAUUAUACCACCUGGUGAUGUCAUGGCUGACUUGGUUUGUGUAAGCACAUGCUAUAAUGCCCACACACUGAUGGAGUAGCCUAACGAAACCUUUCUUGGAAUGUAUCCCUGCAACGCAAGCCUGGAUUUGCUUCCAGAUUUUGUUUUCUUCUUUUCUAAACAAAGGCUGCUGCCAUAAAAUGGGUUGUAUUGAACGUCGACUCUGUGCAAGAAGGGACUCAGGCAGGAGGAGAAGGAUGUGGUGGAGCCACGAGAGCAUCACACUGAGGUAAUCUGGUUACUUCCCAGCGCUGGCACUGGUUCCCAGGCUCUGUGGGUCAGAGAAUGGAGACAGAAGUCUUGAUCAUUCUGGCCUGUGGCUCUAGCACUAAUUGCACCACGAGGGCCAACUCAGCUUCCUGGGCUUUACUUCCUUUAUGGGGAUGGGAAGAUGUUUACUCUUAUGUUACUGGACGGUUAUAAGAAUUAAAGGAAAUUAAGACUAUAGGAGAAUUAAUUUUGUACACUGGAAGGCAGGGAGUAAGUAUAAGGCACUGGUAUUUCCUGUUAGAAGAACUGAGGAGUUUCCAAUUCUGUUUUAAUUUCUUUAUUUACUCUUAUGGGUUUAUUUAUAUUUUGUGGUGCUGAGGUCCAACCCAAGGCCUUGAGCUUGCUAAGCAAGCUCUACUACAGAGCUAUACCUUUAGCCCAGUCAUGACAUUUAUAGAUAACUGCCAUAGAUCAGAUGGAAACAUGAUGCCAUUUUUAAAAAGUAAAGAAUCCAUUAUCUUCCUGCCCACAGAUAAUCCGGGCUGUUGUUUUCCCCCCGUGAAUGAGUACGUCUAGUAUCUCAUUUUCUAUUUGUGUGUCAGUGAGGGAGAGCGAUAGAUUAUGGAACAAGCAGCGAAGUCCCUGCCUAACACACAAGACAUCAGGCCGCCGUGGGUAUCCUCUCCAGAAAUCCAGUGGCAAAUGAGAUGAACAGAUUCCUACCUCAUUGGCACAAAGUCUAUCUUCAAAAACAUAAAGCAAACCAGUACUUAUACAAUUAAUAGUUUAACCACAAGAAGGAUGCAUAUUACAAAGAAUAAAUUUGGUGAUGUGAAUGUGGGUAAUAGAAAACCCAUCAAAUUAGGACAUCAUGAUAGAUACUGUCUUACACCUGAUUUCUCCACAGAGCAUUGCUGAUGGCUGCCUCAUAUCUUCAUCAUGUAGAGAAACACCUUUGCUCUGUUCCCCCAUUUGGGUUUUUUAAAAAUAAAAAAUGCAGAAUAUAGUGUUCUUAAACAAAAAUUAUUAACUGAUGUCUUAUGGUGUUCGUAGAAUACAUCCACAAACAUUGGAAUAUUGAGAUAAAAGUCACAAUAGCUUUGAGGUUAACGAUCCAAACAUCAGCUUUUUCCUGAAAGUAUGAAUCAAUCUACAUUCUUACCUGCAGAGUUGAAAUAUAUUUCACAGAAAGAUAGCUAGUAGUAUUGUCUUUUUCAAAGACAAUAAUUUUUUUAAAAUUGGCAAUUUGUAUGGCCAAAAUUUUUACUAUUUUAGUUUGCAUUUAUUUGAUUAGUAGUAGUGCUUAAAAUUAUUUACUGGUUCCUUGUAUCAUUUUUCUAUUUUGUACAUUGUAUCUGUGUCCUUUGCUCAUUUUUUUCUAUUAGAGUGUUGGUAUUUUUCUUACUGUAUUCUAAGAGAGAUUUUGUACAUUAUGGUGUUUUGUUUUAUUUUGUUUUACUCAUUUAUCUAUCUGAUUUCUUCUUGCAAGUUUUUUUUCUCUUUUAUAUGUACUCUUAGAAAGACCUUUCCCAGAAAGAAGGGAAAUGAAAAAUUAUGAGAAAUGGAAAAAAUGGAAAGAAAGUCUUUGCAAAUAGGGAAGGGUGGAGGGGUGAACGGAGUGCAAGGAAUGGAGAAAAAAUAAGAACCAAGAUACAUCAUGUAAAAGUACAAAUUCCCAAUGAGAAAUGUAAACAUUAUAUAACUAAAAUGUAC
ensembl:lncRNA